GUAAAGGGAAGUGUAGUAAAGUGUAUUAAAGUGAAGUGUAGUAAAGGGAAGUGUAGUAAAGUGUAGUAAAGGGAAGUGUAGUAAAGGGAAGUGUAGUAAAGUGUAUUAAAGGGAAGUGUAAUAAAGGGAAGUGUGUAAAGUGGAAGUGUAGUAAAGGGAAGUGUAGUAAAGGGAAGUGUAGUAAAGUGUAUUAAAGGGAAGUGUAAUAAAGGGAAGUGUAGUAAAGUGUAGUAAAGGGAAGUGUAGUAAAGGGAAGUGUAGUAAAGGGAAGUGUAGUAAAGUGUAUUAAAGGGAAGUGUAUUAAAGGAAGUUGUAGUAAAGUGUAUUAAAGGGAGUGUGUAGUAAAGGGAAGUGUAGUAAAGUGUAUUAAAGGGAAGUGUAGUAAAGUGUAUUAAAGGGAAGUGUAUAAAAGGGAAGUGUAGUAAAGUGUAUUAAAGGGAAGUGCAGUAAAGUGUA
ensembl:lncRNA